AGCAGGGACAAAGCCACCUGGGCAGCUACUGGAGCCACGGGGAGUCGCAGAAAAUUUGGAAAAUACAGUCAAGACACACAGAGUAAAUAUUACCCAUCAACCACUGUUCAGAGAUAACCACUGCUAGCGUCUGGGUGAUAAGGUCUACAGGUUUUUUUUCCAUGAAGGGAAGGCCCAGGAAGGCCUUGAGCACCUGCUGCCUCCACCCCUCCUGAGCGAAGGCCCCAACACCUCACUGAUGGGCUCAGAGCCCCCCUGUAACUUCUCCACUGCUGCCCACCGGUGCAACCUGGGAGCCCAGUAUUGUGUGGGUCACAGCUACUGAGGGCAGGGGCACAGCCUGCCCCUGGGGAGCAGUCUACUACCACUGCCCUGAUGCCUCCAUCCCUUCGGCCAGAUGUGGGUGGCUUGCAGGCUGCUGUGAUCAUCAUCCCAACCCUGCUCUCCUCAUCCACUCUGCUGGUCAUAAGCUGCAUCUUAUGGAAGACCUGCCGUCGGUGGUCUCGGGUCACCCACCCCAGCCUGCCAUCCACAUGA